AAAGUCGUAACAAGGUUUCCGUAGGUGAACCUGCGGAAGGAUCAUUACUGAUUUAGCGAACCGAGCGUUAGCGAGGUUUUGCGAUCAAUUUAUAUUUAAAACCCACUCUUUAAUGUAUAAAAUUUGUAUUAAUGAUAAAUUAAAAGAUCACUUUCAACAACGGAUCUCUUGGCUCUC
rnacentral:misc_RNA from 1 species